UGAUAAUUAGAAUUAUUAGUGAUCCACAUUUUUUUAUUUUUCGUCAUUUUUAUCAAAACUCUGAAUUCUUUCUACUGGAGACACACGUUUCAAUCUUCUGACUGUGGGACCCAUGGUGGUUCAAAGCUAAUGCAGCUAGCGUAAGAUGGAAUGGAAUGUCCUUUGUGAACCGGCUGUUUCACCUCCAUAUAUGUACGUAGCUGUUCGCUUAGCUAAUAUCUCUGUGGAAGCCAACGAAAAGCCACGGGUACCGCGUUGGAGGCCAGAAACACCACGACCUUCGUUAUACCAAUCGACUUCUUCGUUAGAAAAUAGUAAAAUAUUCACUAGUUAUUUUCUUUGCUGAAAAGUGAAAAAGAAAUAAAACAAAUUUCACAUUAGGAAAUAGAAAUUUAACUCAUGAAUUUUUGUUUAUUUUUAUCUAUGUUACAAAAUGAAAUUUAUAUUUUACGAGGUUAGAAUUCCUAGUUUGAAAUGUUGUGAUGUAAUUUAAUGCUGGUUUUAGUUAUUUCUUAUUUCGAAAUUAUUCUGGAAAGAAUUUUAAAUUUCACUUUAGAAAUUGAAAAUUGUUUUUAAUGUAUUCGUUCUUAAAAUAUAGAUAAUUGAGAUAUGCAUAUGCUGUCUUUAGAAUUUAUUACUAAAAUUUAUUACUAGAUCAAAAAUAUAUCAUUUAAAAAAAGAUCAUUUUUGAGUUAUAUAAUUGUUAAUCGAGUUCUUUAAAAUAUUUUUUUGAUAUAUUAAAUAAAUUAAAAUAAAUAUAAAAAUCAUCAACUUCUGAUAAUUUAAAUAUUAUUAAAUCUUUAAAAGAUGCACUUUUAUAUUAAACACAUUUAAAAUAUAUAUAUAUAUAACAUUUCCUAAGAAUGCUCAAAUAUCAAUUUAGAAGUGAAAAAUGGCGGAUGCGAAGGGAUCGGUUUAUUCAGCAGAGGGCGCCUGUUCUCUACGAAAAUUUCUGCAAGCGUACAUCACAUAUACGUAUACGUAUGCACGAACGAACAGCUGCGUUUGAUUCGUACGGUAAACUCAACGUUCUAAUUACGACAAUUGGCUGUCAUUGUUCUUAGACAUAUACGUAAGACUGGGAGAACGAUUAACGUGAUGGUAACCAGUGACUACUUGGAAACUGUGGCCCUACGGUGCUCGCGACGAACGUUUUCGAACUGCACGUGAAAUUAAGGCAACAAUAUUGCGACAGAAAAAAAAAAAAAAAGAAAAGAGGAUUAAACAUCAUGCAUUUUCCUUCACGCUAAAUACGAGAAUUAAAUUCAUAACCGCAAUUCCAUUCGUGAUAUUUGACGGAACUAAUAUGGUGGAACGAUGGAUUGACGCGUGUAAUUAGAAAGCACAUACGCGCAUUUACGCGGAAUCGGUGCGUUUGUUUUGCAAUUAGCGAGUUGCAAGUAGGUCUUGAACAAUUGAAUUGCAACGUUCACUCAUGCUUGGUUUUUCUUAUGGAUCAAUGGGAUAACUAGCUUUGAUAACGAAGGAUAAUCGUUGGGCUAGUCUUUCAGUGAACUUUAUUCUGCAACUAUUGUCAUCGAUCGUCAGUUUAGAAAUCAUUUUAAAGAAACAAUAAUUAUCAUUAUCAUAUUGUGUUAACUUUAUGUUGAACUUGGAACGAUAUUAAAGAUAUUUAUGCCAUUUUAAGAACAAAAAUAUAAAGAUAAAAAAAUAUAAAGGAAGUGUUUCAACAAUUGGUUACUUCUUUAGGAGUAAUUUGGGUGUUAAUUAACCAAAGCUGAUUGGGUCCAUUACAAUCGAUCUUUCCCAUAGAAUAGUGAUAUGCAAAAUUCGACAUUAGCCAAAGCGUGAUCAAUCGCCGUCCUUAAUUAGUUAGCUCGCCACAUUUAUCUCUAGGUAUUAGCAAUCCUAAUCCUCGCCAUUCUUCCUGUGGCCAGGAUCUUUAACGAAAUCUCAAAAAUUAUCUUUAAAAAAAACUCUUUUAUCUGAAACGAAAAAAAGGAUAAAAGUGAGAGUAUUUCCUAGAGGACGCGAACCUUCACGUAACGAACCGAUCGAGUUACUCGGAAGCUGUGCUUAGGCUAAUUUCAUCGGCGAUCGAUUUUCUAUUUCUCACGAGGUUGGACGUUGAACCAGUCUUUUCCUUUCUAAGAAUAGAAGAUUUUAUAAAUAAUAUUGCUCAUUAAAUGCUAAUGUAGGAUGGUCCAACUACUGUAUAGAAAGGAUUUGAUGAAAACAGCGUUCGCUCAUCGACGUUUUUUCCAUGCCGACAACACCGCGGAGAAUGAUCAGAACGAGCAAUCCCAUACGGAGGCGCCGCUGCUCGAAGAAAAACGAUCUGGCGAGCAGACAUCCGAGACAACUUGCUUUCUUUUUCUUACCAUUUCUUCUCGUCUUUCUCCUCCUGUCUCUCAGUCUCUCCAGUCUUUUUCAUUUUUCCCUCUUUUUCGCCCUGAUCCGUUUGUCAUGUUUCUUCGUUUCUUCUCUUGCUAUAUUCUUCCCGUUUAAUCCUUUUCGAUGACCAUUUAUAUCUUUUUUCUACUUUUGUCUUAUAUAUUUGGUCUUUGUAUUUUUUUAUUCUUAUUUUUAUCUGGACAAUUUCUUUCCCCCUUUUUUUGGUUUGAUAGACUUUAAGAAAAACAGAUUUUUCUUACUUUUUUUUAUUGUAUAUCUUUUUUUCGAUUCUUAGUUUAUUACUUUUUAUUUGGAGAUUAGAUUUUAAAUUUCUGUUUAUUCUUGUUUUUCUUUUCUUCCUUUAUCUUUUAUCGUAUAUUGAGUACGAUAUAAUUUUUUUUCUAUUUUCUUUUUUUUUAAUUUCAUUUGUUUACUACUCUUUAAAAAAUAUUAUCUUUUCUUUUACAUUUCUUCUCGAUUUCUUUUUUCUGAUACUUUCUAUUCUCUAACAAUAUUUCCAUCUUCUCAAUUAUAUUUCCUUUUCUUCAUUUAUCCAAAAAUUAUAAAAUUUCUUUCUAUCAAUCUUUUCUCUAUUUACAAAAACAUUUUCAAAAAAUUUAUCAAUUCCUCCUUCUCUUUAUUUUUAUCAAUUCCUCCUCUUUAUUUUUAUCAAUUCCUCCUCCUCCUUAUUUUUAUCAAUUCCUCCUCUUCUUUAUUUUUAGCAAUUCCUCCUCCUUCUUAUUUUUAUCAUUUUAAAAUUUCACCAUAGAAUUUUUCAUCGUGCCAUGCCUCUUCUUAACAUCGUAAGAACGGAUUAUUUUUAAUCGGAUAUAAUCUCUUUCUUUUGAAUUUCUCUUUCCUAAUCUUACCUUUUCACCUCCCAUUCCAAAAAUUUAUCAAUUCCUCCUCUUCUUUAUUUUUAUUAAUUUCUCCUUUUCUUUAUUUUUAUCAAUUCCUCCUCUUCCUUAUUUUUAUCAAUUUAAAAUUUCAUCAUAGAACUUUUCACCCAUGCCUCUUCUUAACAUCGUAGGGGCGGAUUAUUUUUAAUCGGAUAUAAUCGGAAAUAUCUGCAAGGAUUAAAGUGAAAAUUCGAUCGGAAUUUCCAUUCGAUUGGACGAUUUCUCUUUCCUAAUCUCACCUUUUCACCUCCCGUUCCCUCCAACAAUACUUCCACUUUUCUCAAUUAUACGCAACGUUUUUCUCUCCCUCUCCAUAACCAAGUUACGCCGCACGUUCAUAUUCUUCUUUCACAAACUCGCUUCUUCAUCGGUGCCUCUCUCUUAACCCUUCCUCUCGAGCAUCCUCCCCACCCCUCCUCUCCGCAAGACGCGCGGCGUCGUCGGAGAGGGUGGGAGGGGCGCGGUGCAGAACGCACUGGCGCCGUCCUGCUGCACGCAUUAUUCCACGCGCAUUUUUCCGCGUCGAUCUGUGCCGCGGCACGAGGCAUGGGCCCGCUUUCUGGGAGAGGAUACCCGCUCUGGCACGUGACCGGUGCGUAUACGCGUACGGUACACUGGAAACGUUCGUGUGAACCUGGACAGGUUCGGGUAACAGGUUCGAAAGAUAAGAACCGCGUGAUUGUAGUUUAUAGCGACAGAACUAUUCGUUGCAAGUUAUAGUGGGAAUUAGGAAGAAAAAUAGGGAGAAAAGUAAUGGUUUUUAUGCCUUUAGAGAGGUAUUGCUUUCUAAUUUUGUGUAUCUUAAUAGAUGGAUUUGAAAUAGAUUGAAAGAUUGAAAUUUAAAAGCAAUAAAUGAAAGCGACUAAGUUCUUUAAUUUUGAAAAUUUUUAGAGUCCAUAAAGAUACAUAGAUUUGAAAAUUCAUUUGAAGUUUAAUUAAAGUUUCUAAUGGUAUUUCAAAGAUUUUAAGAUUUGUAGAUAUUUAAAGACUUUUCAAAGAUCAGAGGGCAUUGAAGGAAAAAAAAUUUUAAAUCCUGAAAAUUCUAGAGAUUUAAAAUUCUAAUAAUAAUAUGAUUUCUUCAAAGGUUGAAAAGAGAUGAGAACAUUUAAAAAUCGUAUUUUCUAUAAAAUUGGAUACAGGAAUUAAUUUUCAUAAUAAUCUCUAAUCACACAAUUCAUUUACUGGUAGCAAGUUUCCCUUCUAACAACUAGUCCAAUAAUUGUUCCAAUCAACUUGUAAUUAUAAAUCUAUUCGUGUUAAUUACACUUAUAAAAAAUUAAUUUUCCACAUGUUUCACAAUUCUCUAGAACUUUUCAUUAUCAAUGCCAAUUUUCUAAAAUAAAAAUUUUAUAUUAUUAUUGCAAGAAAUGAAACUAUAAAAUGUUUCCAUAAGAUAAUUAAAUUUUUUAUUGCAAUAAAUUGAUUAAAUUUUUUUAAAUUUUUAUUAUUUUGAGAAUGUUCUUUAAUAAUAAUUAAAAAUUCUAAAAAUUUCCAGAAAUAUCUAUCACUAUUGAAAAUAAUAAAAAUUUUAUAUCUUAUAUUUUUAUAUGAAUAUAAUUUAAUGUUUGUAGAAUUAUCAUAAGAAACAAAAUUGUAUGCAAGCCAUAUUCCAUGAAUUAAUGAUCUUCAACGAGUAUUCCGCGUGCUACUCGCUGGCACGAUGGCCUACUUCGGCCUGGCGCCAGGCAUAAAACGGGAAAAGAAUCAUAUGAUUCUUAACCACGAUCGAAUUGAUCGUCCACAACUCUCAGGUGAAAUUUUCACCUCUGUCUCAUUAUUAUAACUUUCGUUAUAAUUUAUUCGUUUCAUCAAUUUAUGGUUUCCUCAACUUCAUAUUUAAGUGCGAUCUUCUCAGUACUUUAUGUUCCUUUCUUGCAAAUUGCCUUAUUGAUUCAUAUUGAAAUAAUUUGGUAAAUCAGAUUAAUGAUAGAUAAUUACAGUUUUCUUAUUCAGAGGCUUUAAAGGAAUAAAUAUAAUCCAAUUCUUCAAAAGUACUUGUAUUCUAUAUAAUUUAAGAAAAUUUAAUUUAAAAAAGUAAUUUAUUUAAUUAUUGAGAUAAUUUGAUUUUCAUUAUCUCUUCAUAGUAAUGUUAAUUUCUUUAAUUUAAUAUAAUUUAAGUUAAAUCUAAACCAUUGAGAGGAAUAUUAAAUUUUUAUAAAUAAAAAUAAAAAAGUAAUUUUUAUUUUUGAUAAUUAUAAGGAUUGCUAAAAGUAUUUUAAACAUAAAUUAAAUUUAAAAUCUUUUUAUUAUUCUAAAAAUAUUCAAACUCAAAUCUAAUAAUAAUAUCUCGAAUAAUAUAAUAAUCUAUCCUUUAGUUAUCGAAGAAAUCAAUUCAUCACUUGACAAUGAAGAGAAUUCCAAAUAUUUUAUAUAUAUAUAUACUUGAAUAUUAAUUAAUUUUUAAUCUCCACGUGUCUUUUUCGAAAUUAUAGGCAUCAUCCUCCAGUUCUUAAGAAUGUCGAGGGUUAGUUUGGACUCCAACGUCGAAAGUAUCCAACGUGUUGAUAAAUAUAGAGCUUGUAGAAGAGUUUUUUCACGCGGAGAGUGGAAUCGAGGCGCGGAACACGCCUUCGUCGUGAAAAUUACAGUUUCAACGUCCAUUUUGUGGUGAAUAAUGCUUGUAAAUAAUGAUAAAAUCCUGCGAACGAGAUACUUUAUUAGUUUGUAUUGUCGUGUAAAUCUUACAAUAUGUAAUGAUCCGAGAAUUUUUAAAGGUUGAUUCGUAUCGCGUGAAAUCGAACUUUCCGGAAUAUUAUUGAAUUAUUGAAUUGUGUAUUUAAUAAAAUUGAUCUUAAAAUGAUAAA